rnacentral:lncRNA from 1 species
UCUUCACAUGAGCAAAAAAGGGUUCUUCCAAGUGAACCCUAAACUCACAAAUUGGAUCAAAAUCAAGGGAAAUCAAGCCAAGAUUUUGGGGGUUUAACUAAAUUCGUGAUCACCAAGCUUAGGAGAUCACAAGUUGACUCUAAACAAGCUAGGUGAGAGCUUGGAAAGGAACGGGUCAAACAGAUCAUGGAUGCGAAGAAUGUUUGCGCGGACGCGAGGGUAAAACGGCUUAUGGAAUUUACGUGGCUAUGA